rnacentral:lncRNA from 1 species
AAGAACUUCAAAAAAUACUCAAGCAAAUGUGAGUGGGCCCAUAACCUAUUGAAGAAAAGAAAUCUAAAAGCUCAAACACUUAGUAUCAACAAAGAUUGUAGUCUAAGAGAAGUGUCUAGAAAAAUGAUUCUUUCUUCCAACACUCUUUACUUAUAUGUGGUGGUUUGCUCACUAACAAGGCAAAUUUUAUCCUUUUGAUAUCACAUCC